rnacentral:rRNA from 1 species
AGAGUUUGAUCCUGGCUCAGGACGAACGCUGGCGGCGUGCCUAACACAUGCAAGUCGAACGAUAACCCGGAGCUUGCUCCGGGGGACAGUGGCGAACGGGUGAGUAACACGUGAGAAACCUGCCCUAGAGACCGGGACAACCAUUGGAAACGAUGGCUAAUACCGGAUGCCCUCACAUGACCGCAUGGUCGAGUGAGGAAAUGCUCAGGUGCUCUAGGAGGGUCUCGCGGCCUAUCAGCUAGUUGGUGAAGUAAUGGCUCACCAAGGCAUCGACGGGUAGCUGGUCUGAGAGGACGAUCAGCCACACUGGGACUGAGACACGGCCCAGACUCCUACGGGAGGCAGCAGUGGGGAAUAUUGCGCAAUGGGCGAAAGCCCGACGCAGCAACGCCGCGUGUGGGAUGACAGCUUUCGGGUUGCAAACCACUUUCAGUGACGACGAAAAUGACGGUAGUCACAGAAGAAGGUCCGGCCAACUACGUGCCAGCAGCCGCGGUAAUA